UCAGAGCAUGCUCUGCAGG
rnacentral:misc_RNA from 1 species